CCUACGGGGGGCAGCAGUGAGGAAUAUUGGUCAAUGGACGAGAGUCUGAACCAGCCAAGUAGCGUGAAGGAUGACUGCCCUAUGGGUUGUAAACUUCUUUUAUAUGGGAAUAAAACGUUCCACGUGUGGGAUUUUGUAUGUACCAUAUGAAUAAGGAUCGGCUAACUCCGUGCCAGCAGCCGCGGUAAUACGGAGGAUCCGAGCGUUAUCCGGAUUUAUUGGGUUUAAAGGGCGCGUAGGUGGAUUGUUAAGUCAGUUGUGAAAGUUUGCGGCUCAACCGUAAAAUUGCAGUUGAAACUGGCAGUCUUGAGUACAGUAGAGGUGGGCGGAAUUCGUGGUGUAGCGGUGAAAUGCUUAGAUAUCACGAAGAACUCCGAUUGCGAAGGCAGUUCACUGGACUGCAACUGACACUGAGGCUCGAAAGUGUGGGUAUCAAACAGGAUUAGAUACCCGAGUAGUC
rnacentral:rRNA from 1 species